rnacentral:lncRNA from 1 species
AGGAGGAGUGGGGGUUGCGGCGAGCGAGGGAGAGGAAGAGGGAGCGAAGAAGGCGGGCUAGGGAGGGGCUGAGGGAGGAGACAUGUUGCUUGAGACCGUUGAUGUCGAGGGGGACGACGAAGAUCUUCUCCCAGGUGGAGGGCCGGCAGUUGGUGCAGGACACCGAGAGGUCGUCUCCGGCGACCUCGGCGCCGUUGGAUCUGGAAGAAGGCUUCUUCGGAGCCGUCGAUUUGGAGGAGGAGGAGGAAGGGUGGAG